rnacentral:rRNA from 1 species
CCUUGGUUUAACUCAAAGGUGCAGCCUGCCCUAUGGUUUUUUAAAUGUUUUAUAACUAAAACCUAAACAGAAACUAAAUGGCCGCGGUAACUCUGACCGUGAUAAUGUAGCGAAAUCAAUCGUCGUUUAAUUGACGACCCGUAUGAAAGGUUAAACGAAUUUCCCCCUGUCUCGAAAAUAAACCCCAUCGAAAUUGUAUCAGUAGUGAAGAUACUACUAUGAGAUUGCUAGACGAAAAGACCCUAUAGAGCUUAACUAUAUUCUCAAUCUACGACAUUUUAUAAAUAUAAAAGUGCAUUGAGAGUGGUAGUUUGGUUGGGGCGACCUUCUUCUAUAACAAACGAAGAUAAACAAAGGCAUUUUGAUUUUUAAUUGCUUAAUUGUUUAAUUCAUAAAUUUAACAAAUACUAACGUAGGUAAAAAUGACCCGUUCAUUUUAAAAAAUAAAGAGAACGAUCAAUAAAUAAAAGCUACCUUAGGGAUAACAGCGUAAUCUUGUUCAAGAGCCCUUAUCGACAACAAGGUUUGCGACCUCGAUG